AUUGAACGCUAGCGGGAUGCUUUACACAUGCAAGUCGAACGGCAGCGCGGACUUCGGUCUGGCGGCGAGUGGCGAACGGAUGAGUAAUGUAUCGGAACGUGCCCAGUAGCGGGGGAUAACUACGCGAAAGCGUAGCUAAUACCGCAUACGCCCUACGGGGGAAAGCAGGGGAUCGUAAGACCUUGCACUAUUGGAGCGGCCGAUAUCGGAUUAGCUAGUUGGUGAGGUAACGGCUCACCAAGGCGACGAUCCGUAGCUGGUUUGAGAGGACGACCAGCCACACUGGGACUGAGACACGGCCCAGACUCCUACGGGAGGCAGCAGUGGGGAAUUUUGGACAAUGGGGGCAACCCUGAUCCAGCCAUCCCGCGUGUGCGAUGAAGGCCUUCGGGUUGUAAAGCACUUUUGGCAGGAAAGAAACGUCGCGGGCUAAUACCCCGUGGAACUGACGGUACCUGCAGAAUAAGCACCGGCUAACUACGUG
rnacentral:rRNA from 1 species